rnacentral:lncRNA from 1 species
GAAGGACUUAACUCUUAACAAGUGAAUAACAUAAAGUUUAAAAAUGUUGUCUUUCACCAUAAAAUAGUGAGUUUGGCUAAUGAUUCUAGAUAAAGCUACAAAUCUGGCUUAAGUUAAAUGUAUUCUUUGUUUUGUUUGAACCUGUGACCAAUAUAGUACAAAAUAGGUAGUACAAGAUAAACUUCAGAAGUUUAGUUUUAGUCAGAAAUUAGUGAAGUUUUCUUAUUUCCUUUUGGAAUAGGAUGGAUGGCAGAGCAGGGAUGGAAAACAAAACAAAACAAAAAAAAAUUAGAAAAAUGGUUGGGGUCACCAAAAGGAAGAUUAUUUGCUUACACAAAUUUACCUAGUGUAAUGUCCUAUAUAUUUUCUUUAUUUCUCAAAUCAUAGCAACAUUUUAUUUUUUAUGUCCAGGAUCAAUAGCAAGAAACAAAUUGUAAAAUACACAAAUGUUUUAACUAUAAUUUAAUUAGAAUGAUUUCCCUAAAUCACCCAACAUCUUAUCAGCCUUUAGAGGGCCCUUUGUGCAAAUUUGUGAAUUAAUAUCCAUCAAAAUGCAAUUUCUAGAGAUAACAGCAUCAGAAAAACCAGAUUUUAACAAAACGCUAACGUGAAAAAUUCAUUUGCAGUAUAUUUGUAUCAUUCUAAUUUCUUGAUUAUUGAUGGUCUCAACUCUAUACAAGGUGGAGAAGGACUUCAGAAUUUAUAAAUUAGCACAGUCCUAACCACAAAGAAACUAAGGUAUGGAAAGUUUAAAAAAAAAAAAAAUAUAUAUAUAUAUAUAUAAAUUGCAAAACAAUCCAAUAAGCCAUAUGAUGUUUGAUGUUACUACUGUCAUCUGUGAUGAUACACCUCUAGAAAAAUGUUUAUAGCUUGGCAGAUUUUAAAAAAUCUAUAUUUUAUCAAUUUAAAUUAUAUCAUAUUCUGAACAUGUAUAUCCAUUCAUCACUUAUGUUAGUUACCAAAACCUAUGCAUAUAAUCUCAAGCCGCCUUAUUUACUGAAAUAUUAGCAUUGUACAUGAUAAAGGAAAAAGUAUAACACAGGCAUGCCCUACCUAAUAUUGUUGACUUUUUCUUUGAAAACAUGAUGUGUUAAUGAAAUGACUUUACAGGGAUUAGUUAGUUCCACAGAAACAGUGAUUGAUGAGGCAAUUAGGG